rnacentral:misc_RNA from 1 species
GAUGAAGAACGUAGCGAAAUGCGAUACGUAAUGUGAAUUGCAGAAUUCAGUGAAUCAUCGAAUCUUUGAACGCAUAUUGCGCUCUCUGGUAUUCCGGAGAGCAUGCUUGUUUGAGUAUCAGUAAACACAUCAACUUCCAUAUCUUUUUUGAAAUGGGAGUUGGACUUGAGUGAUCCCAACGCUUUUCCUCACCGAAAAGUGGCGGGUUACUUGAAAUGCAGGUGCAGCUGGACUUUUCUCUGAGCUAUAAGCAUAUCUAUUUAGUCUGCCUAAAAAACAGAUUAUUACCUUUGCUGCAGCUAACAUAAAGGAGAUUAGUUCUUGUGCUGACUGAUGCAGGAUUCACAAAGACGGCUUCGGCCGACUUUGUAAACUCGAUCUCAAAUCAAGUAAGACUACCCGCUGAACUUAAGCAUAUCAAUAAGCGGAGGA